AUAAGAACAUAGUAGCUUCACAUGAUGUGACAAACAUUCAUUUCGGAAGAUGAACAAUUGACUAUUGAUUAUUGAUGUUAUAUAUUUCAUAAAGUGUUGGCUAGUUUCAACACUAAAGACUUUGCUUCAAUAGCUCUCUUGCAGAUCUCACUGUGAAAACAGAGACCAGCAAUGGUGAGGUUCAAGAAACAGAUCAUUUAAGGCCAGAUGAUCAAAGCAAUAAAACAGAGAUACUUUUACCAAUAAAAAAAAAACGAGCUGGUCGUUCUAAAGCUGGAGAGGGGAAAAUAAAACUCAUUGAGGCUGUGCCACCAACUACUCCCAGGCCAACAGUUGCCGAGACAACUCCUGAUGGCAAGCUGUUGUGCCCUCAGUGUAAGAGAACAUUUACAAAAGAACGUCAUUUUAAUACUCACAAAUGUCUCGCCUCAUCAUCCUAUGUUGAUAUUUCAAAGAAGGAAAUAGUGAAAAUUGAUUCAGAUGAGGAAGAUGAAGGCGCUGACCUUGAACUUGAUGCUGGUGCUCAAGAUGAUGCAGAAGACGAAUUUCAUAGUGCUCUGGAUGACAUGCAAGUCGCAGAAAAAGAGGAUGAAGAAGAUGAGAAAGAAAUGGAAAAAGGAGAACAAAAAGAUAAUGAUGAUUGGACUUGGAAUAAUAGAAAGGGGAAAAAAGGAAAAGGUCCAGCUACCAGGUAGAACUUAAAGAGUAA
rnacentral:sRNA from 1 species